rnacentral:rRNA from 1 species
CAAAUAUCUGCCCUAUCAACUUUCGAUGGUGGGAUAGAGGCCUACCAUGGUUUCAACGGGUAACGGGGAAUAAGGGUUCGAUUCCGGAGAGGGAGCCUGAGAAACGGCUACCACAUCCAAGGAAGGCAGCAGGCGCGCAAAUUACCCAAUCCCGACACGGGGAGGUAGUGACAAUAAAUAACAAUAUAGGGCUCUUUUGGGUCUUAUAAUUGGAAUGAGUACAAUUUAAAUCUCUUAACGAGGAACAAUUGGAGGGCAAGUCUGGUGCCAGCAGCCGCGGUAAUUCCAGCUCCAAUAGCGUAUAUUAAAGUUGUUGCAGUUAAAAAGCUCGUAGUUGAACUUCAGAUCUGGUUGAGUGGUCCGCCUAACGGUGUGUUACUGCUUGACUGGGUCUUGUCUCUUGGUGAACCGUUGUGUUCUUUAUUGGAUGCUUCGGGGAACCAGGACUUUUACCUUGAGAAAAUUAGAGUGUUCAAAAGCAGGCCUAUGCCCGAAUACAUUAGCAUGGAAUAUAGCAAUAGGACGGUGUGGU